UGUUAAAAUUUUUAUCUAUUUGUACUGUUAAAAACUGGCAUAACUAAUAAAAUAACUAGAAAAUGAUACGUGACGUAUUACGUAUACCUCAUGUUGAUGUACAAUAACCAAUUUUUAACUAAAAAAAUAGAUGGAAUUUUUAACU
rfam:Gossypium raimondii Chr12_contig_748, whole genome shotgun sequence.